GAGCAUGCUUCGUAUCCAUUUCCUCUCCUCCCCCCCACGCGAACGCUUCAAACACCUCUCUCUCGCUCACCACCAUACACAAUACGAUUAAGGUCUCCAUUGAUGAGAUCAGGACGCGGCGAAGCGGAUCUGAGUAUGGAUACAGCAGCUACGAUUGAUUCGAGCUUCGAAAGAAGAGAUGCCUGCUGUUUGAUUGGGGAAAAAAAAUGAAUAUUAAAAAAGAGAGUUUAUAAUGAAUGAGGAUUCACCACAUCAGAGCCUCUUCUUGGAUUUGACAUACAUGGACAAAGCAACCCACCUAGAUAGAACUUUCUCCUCCAGCUCAUUUGAGUUGAGAUAUAUUGCACAAAGAAAGGUACAACAAGAGACAUCCUUCUAUGGGCAUUGAUUUUGUGUUACUCCUCAUGCCAGGUAAAGGACGUGUGAAGCUCUUUAUGGCUUGUAGUUGGAUGUCUCUCUCACGUACAUCCUCCUCAUUCAGUUGAUUUAAAACCAUGCAGGCUCACACAUGUGGCAUUGCCUUACUCGCUUAGAUGAGCAUUUACUGGGCCCCACAUCUACAAGAGUAAGCCCAGCUGGACUUUAUACAUUAGUGUUGUUUAAAUAAAGAUUUUUCAACGGUUAGUUUAGUUUUCUUCCAUAAGAAAGAUUUUUGCCUGCGAAUGCUUAAUUGUUGCUUCUCGGGCUCGAGAAGUUGUUCCUCAACAUAGACCAAUUAGGCUUUGGAGGUCGUCUUCUCUAUGAUUUUUUCUACUUUACACGGAAAACUCUGAUAGAACCAUCAGUUCUUAUAUCCAAAGCUCAAAAUUUUCUGAUA